GGACGAACGCUGGCGGCGUGCCUAACACAUGCAAGUCGAACGCGUCUGUGCUUCGGCACAGAUGAGUGGCGAACGGGUGAGUAACGCGUGAGUAACUCCCCUUGGGGAGGGGGAUAACCAUCUGAAAAGGUGGCUAAUACCCCAUAUUCUCUUUUCUCAUAAGAGGAAGGAGGAAAGGUGGCGCAAGCUGCCACCCCGAGAGAGGCUCGCGUCCCAUCAGCUAGUUGGUAGGGUAAUGGCCUACCAAGGCUAUGACGGGUAGCUGGUCUGAGAGGAUGGUCAGCCACACUGGGACUGAGACACGGACCAGACUCCUACGGGAGGCAGCAGUGAGGAAUCUUGGUCAAUGGACGCAAGUCUGAACCAGCCAUGUCGCGUGAAGGAGGACGGCCCUAAGGGUUGUAAACUUCUUUUGCAGCGGAAUAAAGUUUGCCACGAGUUGGCGAUUUGCAAGUACGCUGCGAAUAAGGAUCGGCUAACUCCGUGCCAGCAGCCGUGGUAAUACGGAGGAUCCGGGCGUUAUCCGGAUUUAUUGGGUUUAAAGGGUGCGCAGGCGGGGAUUUAGGUCGGCGGUGAAAUUUCGGGGCUCAACCUCGAUAGUGCCGUUGAAACCGUUUCUCUUAAGUGCGGAUGAGGUAGGCGGAAUUUGUGGUGUAGCGGUGAAANNCGUAGAUAUCACAAGGAACACCGAUUGCGGAGGCAGCUUACUAAACCGUUACUGACGCUCAUGCNNNAAGGCGUGGGGAUCAAACAGGAUUAGAUACCCUGGUAGUCCACGCAGUAAACGAUGAUUACUUGCUGUUUGCGAUACACAGUAAGCGGCGUAGCGAAAGCGUUAAGUAAUCCACCUGGGGAGUACGUUCGCAAGAAUGAAACUCAAAGGAAUUGACGGGGGCCCGCACAAGCGGAGGAACAUGUGGUUUAAUUCGAUGAUACGCGAGGAACCUUACCCGGGCUUGAAAUGCAUUCGACUGGGUCGGAAACGGCCUUUCCCUUCGGGGCGGAUGCGUAGGUGCUGCAUGGUUGUCGUCAGCUCGUGCCGUGAGGUGUCGGCUUAAGUGCCAUAACGAGCGCAACCCCUGUCGUCAGUUGCCAUCGGUAUAAGCCGGGGACUCUGGCGAGACUGCCAUCGUAAGAUGCGGGGAAGGUGGGGAUGACGUCAAAUCAGCACGGCCCUUAUGUCCGGGGCGACACACGUGUUACAAUGGGCGGUACAGCGGGAAGCUACCCGGCGACGGGGAGCCGAUCCCGAAAUCCGCUCACAGUUCGGAUCAGAGUCUGCAACUCGACUCCGUGAAGUCGGAUUCGCUAGUAAUCGCGCAUCAGCCACGGCGCGGUGAAUACGUUCCCGGGCCU
rnacentral:rRNA from 1 species